CGGGAUAUGGCGCAGCUUGGUAGCGUGCCUCGUUCGGGACGAGGAGGUCGCAGGUUCGAAUCCUGUUAUCCCGACCA
rnacentral:tRNA from 1 species